rnacentral:rRNA from 1 species
UACAGAGGGGGCAAGCGUUGUUCGGAAUUACUGGGCGUAAAGGGCGCGUAGGCGGCCUGUUAAGUCAGACGUGAAAUCCCUCGGCUCAACCGGGGAACUGCGUCUGAUACUGGCGGGCUUGAAUUCGGGAGAGGGAUGUGGAAUUCCAGGUGUAGCGGUGAAAUUCGUAGAUAUCAGGAGGAACACCGGUGGCGAAGGCGGCUUUCUGGACGACAACUGACGCUGAGACGCGAAAGCGUGGGGAGCAAACAGG